rnacentral:SRP_RNA from 2 species
CCGUUGGUCUCCCGCGACAAUAGAUUGCGAACCCGGUCAGGCCUGGAAGGGAGCAGCCGCAGCAAUUGACUUGUGCGCCGGGAAUCGCUGGCGGGGC